CUUUGUGGUUGCUGUGUUGGAGCUCCUCUUUGCUAAACCUGUGCCUGAACAUUGUGCCUCGGAGAGGAGCUGCCUUUCUCUUCGAGACAUCACGUCCAGCUGGCCCCAGUGGCUGCUCAUCCUGGUGCUGGAAGGCCUGUGGCUGGGCUUGACAUUCCUCCUGCCAGUCCCUGGGUGCCCUACUGGUUAUCUUGGUCCUGGGGGCAUUGGAGAUUUUGGCAAGUAUCCAAAUUGCACUGGAGGAGCUGCGGGCUACAUCGACCGCCUGCUGCUGGGAGACGAUCACCUUUACCAGCACCCAUCUUCUGCUGUGCUUUACCACACCGAGGUGGCCUAUGACCCCGAGGGCAUCCUGGGCACCAUCAACUCCAUCGUGAUGGCCUUUUUAGGAGUUCAGGUAUUUGUUCAUUUCAUUAGGUUACUUUUUCUGACAAUUUAUGAUAUUUUAUUCACUCAUUUAAAAACCAUUUCAUUAAAAUAAUUGGAAGCAUAUUCUCUCCUGUGCUAUGGGCCUAAUAUAUUCUGUUAUCUUUGACAGAUUGUGCAGAACCAAAAGUUACUGAAAUUCAGCACAUUCAAGUAAUUAGAUAUAAUUCUUAUAUUCUCAAAAAAAUUCUUAUUUAUAUGGCUUAUCUUAGCACGGCAGUUUCUAGAUAAAAGGUUUCCCUUGCCAAGCUGCAGUGGCUCAUGCCUAUAACGCCAACA
rnacentral:sRNA from 1 species